AGUGGUUCUGAGUCAUCGACAUGACCCCCCAAAGGACACGCAGGUUCUACUUUGCCACAGACUCCACUCCUCCCCACCGUCCCACACUGAGCUUCCCACAUCCUUCCUUUGCCUAGUUGGCUCCUGAAGGCUGAUAAGCUGGUGGCCCCCAGAGGCCAAGUUCGGGAGAGCUGAGUUCUCCUGUGGACUCUGCCGGGGUGUGCUGAGGUCCUGGGCCACCAGCCCCAGUCCCCGACCCUUUCCCUUAGUGUUUGUGCUGUGGACAGCAGGCAGAAGGCAGGCGCAGUGGCCAAGAGGAAAAGCAGUGGGGGACGUGAUUUCAGAGCUGGAAAGACGGGGGAAGGAAAUGACACAAAAUUUGGUUUUGAUGGAGCGGAGUCGCAGAGGCCACCAGCAGCCGGGAAGGGCUAUUGUACCCACGGGCUGAACAGAGUCACGGGGCCGGGUCAUUAACACCGAGCAGCCAGCCGGGAGGGGCGACGGAUCCCGGGGAGAGUGGUUCAUUAGCAACGCUUUCAGGAGCGGAAAUUAAGUUACAGAAACAAUGGUGCACCCCCGAGGACCACAGAACCCCGAUUCCUGGGACCCGCGCGCCGGGGUCCUUUCACCGCCCAGGCGGAGGGACCGAGCCUCCAGGGCGGGCGGUCAGCUGCAGCGGCUCAGGUCCACCGGAAGGGGGCGCCAGAUGCCGCCCGCCCUGCCCCGCUCCCCAGGCGCCCGCUCCCCGGGACUGGAGGACUGUUGCGGGGUGGCCUCGCCGAGCCACAAAGGGCAUCCGGGGGACAGGGCGCGAUCUGAAGUUGCCAGUAGCAGACGAACUGGAGAGACUCCUGUCCGCGACAGCAGAGUAGGGAGAACGGCCUGAUCCGGAGCCGGCGUCCGCUGGCGAGACGCAGGGACACCCGUGGCUCAGCCGGCCCGGCCUCAUGGGGCUGGCUGACUGCCUUGGUUUCCUGGCGGCUUCCACCCACACCGCUGCUCACCGCGCUCCAUGGGCUUUUCUCGCCGUGUAUCCCAGCUGCUGCGACUGGAGGCAGGAAUCGUGCAGCCUGUUCUUUCAAGCAAUUCUCUAAGUCUUGCAUAACCAUCCUUCAUCAAGCACGUGCUCUGAGGAGGAGGAGGGGCUCCGAGGGAAGAGCCACUGUCACACGUGGACCCCUCAACAUCUCCCAGAAAGUCAGGCAGAGGGACCCUCCUGGCUCGACUCUCUUCAAGUUCACUGUGCCUGAGGUCUUGGUGGAAGAGAGACUUCAUUAUUUCAAGCAAACAAGAGGCCGAGUGCUCUCACUGCUGCCAGAGCUUUUUUUUUGGUACUUGGGAUUGAACCCAGGGGCGCUUUACCAACGAGCUGCAUCACCAGCCCUUUUUACUUUCUUUAUUUUGGGGCAGGGUCUCAUUAAGUUACUGAGGCUGGCCUUAAAUUUGUGAUCCUCUGGUCUCAGCCUCCUGAGUCACUGGAAUUAUAGGCUUGCGACACUGCGCACGGCUGUGCAGAUCCAUUUUAAAACACUUUUAAGACGGACUUUUGUAUCACAUGAUGACCUCAAGAUGGCAACCAUACAGCAAGGACUACUCCCCUCCUUUUUUCUUUAAUAUUUAGUUUUUAGUUUUAGGUGGACACAAUAUCUUUAUCUUACAAUUAGGUGGUGCUGAGAAUCGAACCCAGUGCCUCAUGCAUGCUAGGCGGGCGCUGUACCACUGAGCCACAACCCCAGUCCCCCCUUCCUCUUUUGAUAAGGAAGAUAAAGGCUGCAAGAGACAGAUGCAUCGCAUGGUUGCCUGUCUGGACCAUUCUGCCUGCACUGCGUGGCCAGCAUAUCACCCAUGUGGAUGAAAGGUGACACUGGAGGCUGGGACCAGAAUAAAGACCUCACAAAGAACCA